GAAACGUUGCUCCCCAAUCAUGAAUGGCCAAUUUCUUCCAGCAAUAAAUAUUUAUCUGUAAAAUUUACACAAAACAAAAACCAACAAAUCUUUUUCAUUCAAUACCACACUUCAACAGAAAUGCUUCAAACCGAUCACAGUAAGGCUGCUUAUUAAUUAUUUCUUUUGAAUAUUACAUGAUAUAUUUCUGUAUUUUUAUGUGAUAGUGAUGAUUCGUCUUGUUGUUUACUGAGUUACCUUCAGUAACAAAAAU